rnacentral:rRNA from 1 species
CGUACACUCCUACGGGAGGCAGCAGUGGGGAAUCUUGCGCAAUGGGCGAAAGCCUGACGCAGCCAUGCCGCGUGAAUGAUGAAGGUCUUAGGAUUGUAAAAUUCUUUCACCGGGGACGAUAAUGACGGUACCCGGAGAAGAAGCCCCGGCUAACUUCGUGCCAGCAGCCGCGGUAAUACGAAGGGGGCUAGCGUUGCUCGGAAUUACUGGGCGUAAAGGGAGCGUAGGCGGACAUUUAAGUCAGGGGUGAAAUCCCGGGGCUCAACCUCGGAAUUGCCUUUGAUACUGGGUGUCUUGAGUAUGAGAGAGGUGUGUGGAACUCCGGGUGUAGAGGUGAAAUUCGUAGAUAUUCGGAAGAACACCAGUGGCGAAGGCGACACACUGGCUCAUUACUGACGCUGAGGCUCGAAAGCGUGGGGAGCAAACAGGAUUAGAAACCCCAGUAGUCCCAUGA